rnacentral:tRNA from 1 species
CAAAUUAGAGCUUGAUAUAAGUUUUUUAUUUACAUUAAAAAGAAAAUUGUUAAAUUCAAUUUAAUUUGA